UACAGAGGGUGCAAGCGUUGUUCGGAAUUAUUGGGCGUAAAGCGCGUGUAGGCGGCCAGGCAAGUUGGGUGUGAAAGCCCUCGGCUUAACCGAGGAAGUGCGCCCAAAACUACUUGGCUUGAGUACCGGAGAGGAUGGCGGAAUUCCCGGUGUAGAGGUGAAAUUCGUAGAUAUCGGGAGGAACACCAGCGGCGAAGGCGGCCAUCUGGACGGAUACUGACGCUGAGACGCGAAAAGCGUGGGUAGCAAACAGG
rnacentral:rRNA from 1 species